rnacentral:rRNA from 1 species
CCCUUAGAUGUUCUGGGCCGCACGCGCGCUACACUGAUGCAUUCAACGAGUCUAAAACCUGGUCUGAUAGGGCUGGGUAAUCUUUUGAAUGUGCAUCGUGAUUGGGAUAGAUGAUUGCAAUUCUUCAUCUUCAACGAGGAAUGCCUAGUAAACGCAAGUCAUCAGCUUGCAUUGAUUACGUCCCUGCCCUUUGUACACACCGCCCGUCGCUCCUACCGAUUGAAUGUUCCGAUGAAUACCAUGGACUGAGAGUAUGAAUGGGUUCGCCUAUUUCUGCUUCUCGGGAAGUGGAGCAAAUCUUAACAUUUAGAGGAAGGAGAAGUCGUAACA